UAGAGCAAUCAAUAAUUAAACACAUGCAUUACAAAGGUUAUGAUUCGCACCGAUAACAGUCGUUGGUCAUGUUGCGACUUGUGUUCAAAAUCGAAAGAUAAGUUUUGUUUUUGUAAAACAGGAUGUGAUUCAAUAUAACUAACAUUGAAAGAAAUAUAUUUUGCUUCCGGCUACAAGUAUACCUGAGAGAGGAGAGCAAUGUGAUGAGCACAAAUGGCGGACAAAGACGAAACACCCGAACAUUUGAAACAGAAACUAACUAAUAUUACCAACGAUCUUCAAGCUGCUAUAAAAACAAUUGAUACAUACACCGAAGAACAACAAGUAGCAGAACGAAAUAGAAACGAACUUGAAGACUCGAAAAAGAAAAUCCUAGUCCUUCGAAGGCAAUUGGCUGAAAUUGAAGCUAUAUGUGAACACCAUCAAUUUACAAACGACUCGUUGCUGAGAAAAAAAUCGACAGAGAGAAGCAAUAAUAGAUAAACAAAACAAGAAACUUCAGAUGAAUGAGAGAUUCAUUAAACAGCGAGAUAUAAGAAUAACAGAACUUGGAAAGGUUAUAGAACAUAUUACACUGAACACAACUGAUGAAAGUACCCUUAACGACAUGCAACUCAAAGAGAAGAAGACUACAG